rnacentral:rRNA from 1 species
AAUAGAUACCCGGGUAGUCCACGCCGUAAACGAUGGAUGCUAGCUGUGGGGGGUAUCGACCCCCUCCGUAGCGAAGCUAACGCGUUAAGCAUCCCGCCUGUGGAGUACGGCCGCAAGGCUAAAACAUAAAGGAAUUGACGGGGGCCCGCACAAGCGGUGGAGCGUGUUCUUUAAUUCGAUGAUAAACGAAGAACCUUACCAAGGCUUGACAUCCCAGGAAUUACUCCGAAAGGAGUAAGUGCUUUAUUGAACCUGGUGACAGAUCUUGCAUGGCCGUCGUCAGCUCGUGUCGUGAGAUGUUUGGUUAAGUCCAUCAACGAGCGCAACCCUUAUGAAUAGUUGGAUUUUUCUAUUCAGACUGCCCCGGUAACGGGGAGGAAGGGGGGAUGAUGUCAGGUCAGUAUUAGUCUUACGUCUUGGGGCUAGAAACGCGCUACAAUGGCCGGUACAAUGGGCAGCUAACCCGCGAGGGGUGCAAAUCCCAUCAAAGCCGGUCCCAGUUCGGAUUAGAGGCUGAAACUCGCCUCUAUGAAGUCGGAAUCGCUAGUAAUCG